UACGAAAGGUGCAAGCGUUACUCGGAAUCACAGGGCGUAAAGCGCACGUAGGCGGACUCGUAGGUCAAUUGUGAAAUCCCUGGGCUCAACCCAGGAACUGCACCUGAAACUACCAGUCUUGAGUGGUGGAGAGGGAAGUGGAAUUCCUGGUGUAGAGGUGAAAUUCGUGGAUAUCAGGAGGAACACCAGUGGCGAAGGCGGCUUCCUGGACACCAACUGACGCUGAGACGCGAAAGCGUGGGGAGCAAACAGG
rnacentral:rRNA from 1 species